rnacentral:rRNA from 1 species
ACGAAUGCUGGCGGCGUGCUUAACACAUGCAAGUCGAGCGGUAAGGCCUUUCGGGGUACACGAGCGGCGAACGGGUGAGUAACACGUGGGUGAUCUGCCCUGCACUUCGGGAUAAGCCUGGGAAACUGGGUCUAAUACCGGAUAUGACCUCCUAUCGCAUGGUGGGUGGUGGAAAGAUUUAUCGGUGCAGGAUGGGCCCGCGGCCUAUCAGCUUGUUGGUGGGGUAAUGGCCUACCAAGGCGACGACGGGUAGCCGACCUGAGAGGGUGACCGGCCACACUGGGACUGAGACACGGCCCAGACUCCUACGGGAGGCAGCAGUGGGGAAUAUUGCACAAUGGGCGAAAGCCUGAUGCAGCGACGCCGCGUGAGGGAUGACGGCCUUCGGGUUGUAAACCUCUUUCAGCAGGGACGAAGCGCAAGUGACGGUACCUGCAGAAGAAGCACCGGCUAACUACGUG